ACCACUUAGUAUCAUAGUGAUACUAUAGAAACAGGACCAGACAGCUGCCCCCACUCAAGACCUGCCUGGGCAUCAGUCAACAAGAGGUUUUGAAGCAGUCAGUGCAGAUAGAAGUGGUUGAUAGAAUUCAAUCAGAGGAGAAAAUGGGAGCAGAAAAAUGAAAUCAUUUGUGAAAGUAUGAAGAACUUUCACAGAUUCCAGCUGAAGUCAGGAAAGCGAAAGGUAACAAGUCAUGACGAGAUGUCUUCCAUCAACCACAGAAACACCCACAUGUUUCCAGACUUACUCAAGUUCAUUUCAAGAAGAAGGAAUGAGAAAGCUCCUUCACAGCAGGUACUUAGAGAAGAGCAAGAGCAUGAAUGUGGACUACUCUAUUAAAAUUUCCUGGAGUUAAAGUGCUGUUAUUUCAGUGAUGAAGAUGGUCUAUUUGUGUGUGGGUAAGACUCUAUCCAGUUUGUAAUGAGAUAUGUCAUGCAAAGAAGACAUCCCUAAACAUCUUACUGAGCCAAGGAAUCAAAUAGACAAUUAGUUGUCUUCACUCUCUCAUGAAGUAUUUAAAAAGUUGAUAAACUGGGAAUAAAAAGAGGGAGAAGAUGCCCUCUACAGCAAGAGUCAAGAAGAAGAAAAUACGUUUUAAAGACAGUGACUUUCAUUUUACGUCUUGCUAUUGACAUUAUCUGGAAAGUUCUGUGAAAAAGACAAAUAAAUAAAUAAAAAACUUUAAUGUUUUUAUUGAGAGCAAAGAGAUAAGGACAUAAAACAGAGUGGGUUCCUCACAGCAGCUAUGUGUAUCUUAAGAAGACAUGGGAUGCAUCAGUGGCAUGCUAUAGAGUUGUUUUGUUUCAUCAGGAUCUCUUCCACAGACAUAGACAUGUACAUGAAGAGAG
ensembl:lncRNA